UACGUAGGGUCCGAGCGUUUGUCCGGAAUUACUGGGCGUAAAGAGCUCGUAGGUGGUUUGUCGCGUUGUUCGUGAAAACUCACAGCUUAACUGUGGGCGUGCGGGCGAUACGGGCAGACUUGAGUACUGCAGGGGAGACUGGAAUUCCUGGUGUAGCGGUGGAAUGCGCAGAUAUCGGAAGGAACAUCAGUGGCGAAAGCGACUUCCUGGACCAGUACCGACGUCAGGCACGAAAGCGUGGGGAGCAAACAGGA
rnacentral:rRNA from 1 species